UACGUAGGGACCAAGCGUUGUUCGGAUUUACUGGGCGUAAAGGGCGCGUAGGCGGCGCGACAAGUCACUUGUGAAAUCUCCGGGCUUAACCCGGAACGGCCAAGUGAAACUGUCGUGCUAGAGUGCGGAAGGGGCAAUCGGAAUUCUCGGUGUAGCGGUGAAAUGCGUAGAUAUCGAGAGGAACACCUGAGGUGAAGACGGGUUGCUGGGCCGACACUGACGCUGAGUGCGCGAAAGCCAGGGGAGCAAACGGG
rnacentral:rRNA from 2 species